AGCGAACGCUGGCGGCAGGCUUAACACAUGCAAGUCGAACGCCCCGCAAGGGGAGCGGCAGACGGGUGAGUAACACGUGGGAACGUACCCUUUGGUUCGGAAUAACUUGGGGAAACUCAAGCUAAUGCCGGAUAAGCCCUUAUGGGGAAAGGUUUACUGCCGAAGGAUCGGCCCGGGUCGGAUUAGCUAGUUGGCGAGGUAAUGGCUCACCAAGGCGACGAUCAGUAGCUGGUCUGAGAGGAUGAUCAGCCACACUGGGACUGAGACACGGCCCAGACUCCUACGGGAGGCAGAAGUGGGGAAUAUUGGACAAUGGGGGCAACCCUGAUCCAGCCAUACCGCGUGAGUGAUGAAGGCCUUAGGGUUGUAAAGCUCUUUUACCCGGGACGAUAAUGACUGUACCGGGAGAAUAAGCCCCGGCUAACUUCGUGCCAGCCGCCGCGGUAA
rnacentral:rRNA from 1 species